GAUGAACGCUGGCGGCGUGCCUAAUACAUGCAAGUCGAGCGAACAGACGAGGAGCUUGCUCCUCUGACGUUAGCGGCGGACGGGUGAGUAACACGUGGAUAACCUACCUAUAAGACUGGGAUAACUUCGGGAAACCGGAGCUAAUCCGGGGUAAUUUCUUCAACCGCAUGGUUCAAUAGUGAAAGACGGUUUUGCUGUCACUUAUAGAUGGAUCCGCGCCGCAUUAGCUAGUUGGUAAGGUAACGGCUUACCAAGGCAACGAUGCGUAGCCGACCUGAGAGGGUGAUCGGCCACACUGGAACUGAGACACGGUCCAGACUCCUACGGGAGGCAGCAGUAGGGAAUCUUCCGCAAUGGGCGAAAGCCUGACGGAGCAACGCCGCGUGAGUGAUGAAGGUCUUCGGAUCGUAAAACUCUGUUAUUAGGGAAGAACAAAUGUGUAAGUAACUAUGCACGUCUUGACGGUACCUAAUCAGAAAGCCACGGCUAACUACGUG
rnacentral:rRNA from 1 species